AAUCAACGCUGGCGGCGUGCCUCAGACAUGCAAGUCGAACGAGAAAGUCCCCUUCGGGGGAUAAGUAAAGUGGCGCACGGGUGAGUAACACGUAGGUAAUCUACCUUCGGGUGGGGAAUAACCCAGGGAAACUUGGGCUAACACCGCAUAAUGCAGCGGCACCACAUGGUGACAGUUGUUAAAGCGGGGGAUUUUCGGACCUCGCGCCUGAAGAGGAGCCUGCGGCGGAUUAGCUAGUUGGUAAGGAACGGCUUACCAAGGCAACGAUCCGUAGCCGGCCUGAGAGGGCGGUCGGCCACACUGACACUGACAUACGGGUCAGACUCCUACGGGAGGCAGCAGUCGGGAAUUUUGGGCAAUGGGCGAAAGCCUGACCCAGCAACGCCGCGUGAAGGAUGAAAUCCCUCGGGAUGUAAACUUCGCAAGAAUGGGAAGAAUUAGCGAGCGCUAAUACCGCUCGUG
rnacentral:rRNA from 1 species